rnacentral:lncRNA from 10 species
GGAGUUGUUCCUGACUUCUGGUCUUCAUCCUGCCUCAUGCUAGCAGUAUGACUUUAGGUCUGAAGCAAAGUAUCUGUGCCUGACUCUUACAGGAUUGUGAAAAGUAAAGAGGUUAACAUAUGGCCAAUGCUUUAAACUCUGUGGUGAAGAUGCCAGAGAGUAAUAUUCUACAGAUGGGAAAACUGAGUCCCCGAGAAGCAAACAGGCUUGACUUAAAUCAUGUGACAAGUGAGUAUCAGGAAAAACAUUCAAUACUCUGGAUUAUACACUCUGCCACCCAGACUGGAGCGCAGUGGCAUGAUCUUGGGUUACUGCAACCUCCACCUCCUGGAUUCAAGUGAUUCUCCUGCCUCAGCCUCCCGAGUAGCUGGGAUUAUAGGUGUGAGCCACCACACCCGGCCUAUAUGCAUUAUCUCAUUUAACCAACAUAAUAAUUCUAUGAGGCUUAUAAGCUAUAUUUUUUAAGAUGAGAAAAUGGGCUUAGAUAACUUGAAAGAUAGCGUAGUCACUAGGAGCUUGUGCUCUGUGGCCAGACUUUGUGUGUUUGAAUCCCAGGUCCUCCAGUUCUGAGCUGUAUGACAUUGCGCAAGUGACUUAAUUGCUGUCUCAUGUAUAAAGUGGUGUGAAAAUAAGUACUUAUCAUCAUUGUGAUAAUUAACUAAAUUAAUAGACUCAAAGCCUUGAGAAGAGUGCCCAGCACACAGUAAGCACUUGAUAAAUUACUUGGUGAAUACCCAUCAAGAUUAUAAACACAAUUAAAAACAGUGUAGUGGCAGACCUGGGCCUAGAACUCAGGUCUCUCUGAAGCCG